GAUGAACGCUAGCGGCAGGCCUAAUACAUGCAAGCCGAACGAUAGUGAGAAGCUUGCUUCUCACGAAAGUGGCGCACGGGUGCGUAACGCGUAUGCAACCUACCUUAAUCAGGGGGAUAGCCCGAAGAAAUUCGGAUUAACACCGCAUAAAAUCACAAUAUAGCAUUAUACAAUGAUCAAAUAUUUAUAGGAUUAAGAUGGGCAUGCGUGACAUUAGUUAGUUGGCGGGGUAACGGCCCACCAAGACCACGAUGUCUAGGUGAUUUGAGAGGAUGACCCCCCACACUGGUACUGAGACACGGACCAGACUCCUACGGGAGGCAGCAGUAAGGAAUAUUGGUCAAUGGAGGCAACUCUGAACCAGCCAUGCCGCGUGCAGGAAGACAGCCCUCUGGGUCGUAAACUGCUUUUAUUCGGGAAUAAACCUAUCUACGUGUAGAUAGCUGAAUGUACCGAAGGAAUAAGGAUCGGCUAACUCCGUGCCAGCAGCCGCAGUAA
rnacentral:rRNA from 1 species